rnacentral:rRNA from 1 species
AGUGAACGCUGGCGGUAGGCCUAACACAUGCAAGUCGAACGGCAGCACAGUAAGAGCUUGCUCUUACGGGUGGCGAGUGGCGGACGGGUGAGGAAUACAUCGGAAUCUACUUUUUCGUGGGGGAUAACGUAGGGAAACUUACGCUAAUACCGCAUACGACCUACGGGUGAAAGCAGGGGAUCUUCGGACCUUGCGCGAUUGAAUGGGCCGAUGUCGGAUUAGCUAGUUGGCGGGGUAAAGGCCCACCAAGGCGACGAUCCGUAGCUGGUCUGAGAGGAUGAUCAGCCACACUGGAACUUAGACACGGUCCAGACUCCUACGGGAGGCAGCAGUGGGGAAUAUUGGACAAUGGGCGCAAGCCUGAUCCAGCCAUACCGCGUGGGUGAAGAAGGCCUUCGGGUUGUAAAGCCCUUUUGUUGGGAAAGAAAAGCAGCAGGUUAAUACCCCGCUGUUCUGACGGUACCCAAAGAAUAAGCACCGGCUAACUUCGUG